UACGUAGGGGGCAAGCGUUGUCCGGAAUCAUUGGGCGUAAAGCGCGUGUAGGCGGUCCGGUAAGUCCGCUGUGAAAGUCGGGGCUCAACCUCGGAUGCCGGUGGAUACUGUCGGGCUUGAGUACGGGAGAGGCGAGUGGAAUUCCGUGGUGUAGCGGUGAAAUGCGCAGGAUAUCAGGAGGAACACCGAUUGCGAAGGCGGCAUCCUGGACCGAGAUUGACACUGAGGAGCGAAGCCAGGGAGCGAAACGGG
rnacentral:rRNA from 1 species